UACGUAGGUGGCAAGCGUUGUCCGGAUUUAUUGGGUUUAAAGGGUGCGUAGGCGGCCCUGUAAGUCAGUGCUGAAAUAUCCCGGCUUAACCGGGAGGGUGGCAUUGAUACUGCAGGGCUUGAGUACAGAUGAGGUAGGCGGAAUUGACGGUGUAGCGGUGAAAUGCAUAGAUAUCGUCAAGAACACCGAUAGCGAAGGCAGCUUACCAAGCUGUAACUGACGCUGAGGCACGAAAGUGUGGGGAUCAAACAGG
rnacentral:rRNA from 1 species